rnacentral:rRNA from 1 species
CGGCCGCGUCGACGGGAGAAGACGUUGCUUCUCGGCUGGACGAGCGGCGGACGGGUGAGUAAUACUUAGGAAUCUACCUAGUAGUGGGGGAUAGCUCGGGGAAACUCGAAUUAAUACCGCAUACGACCUACGGGAGAAAGGGGGCAACUUGUUGCUCUCGCUAUUAGAUGAGCCUAAGUCGGAUUAGCUAGAUGGUGGGGUAAAGGCCUACCAUGGCGACGAUCUGUAGCUGGUCUGAGAGGAUGAUCAGCCACACCGGGACUGAGACACGGCCCGGACUCCUACGGGAGGCAGCAGUGGGGAAUAUUGGACAAUGGGGGCAACCCUGAUCCAGCCAUGCCGCGUGUGUGAAGAAGGCCUUUUGGUUGUAAAGCACUUUAAGCAGUGAAGAAGACUCCAUGGUUAAUACCCAUGGACGAUGACAUUAGCUGCAGAAUAAGCACCGGCUAACUCUGUGCCAGCAGCCGCGGUAAUACAGAGGUGCAAGCGUUAAUCGGAAUUACUGGGUCGACGCGGCCGAGUCGNGGGAGACG